GGAGAGGCUGUGGCUCAGUGGAAGAGCCUCUGUUGUGCAAAGCAGAAGGAUCCAGGUUCAAAUGCUGACCUCGCCA
rnacentral:tRNA from 1 species